rnacentral:rRNA from 1 species
GAAAUGCGAUAAGUAAUGUGAAUUGCAGAAUUCAGUGAAUCAUCGAAUCUUUGAACGCAUCUUGCGCUCCUUGGUAUUCCGAGGAGCAUGCCUGUUUGAGUGUCAUUAAAUAUCUCAAAAAGCUUGUGCUUUUUUGGCAUGGGAUUUUUGGACAUUGGGAGUUGCCGGCUGCUGAUAAAGUGGUGGGCUCUUCUGAAAAGCAUUAGUUGAGGAGCUUUGCACUCUAUUGGUGUGAUAAACUAUCUAUGCCAGGAGAUGCUUCAUGAUCCUCUGCUGUCUAACUGUCUUUAUCAGACAAUAUGAUAAACUUGACCUCAAAUCAGGUAGGACUACCCGCUGAACUUAA